CCCAAGCUUGCUGUCUCCCUAGAGCUGUUUCCUGCAGCUCUCCCUGCCUUGCCCUCUCAACCCCACUGGGAUCCAACAAGCCUGGGCUCCUCUCAUCCCCACUGUCCCCUAAAGGGAACGAAAGCCUCAGAAGAGGGAUGCCACACCCUUCUCCAGACUUCACAGGGUCACCCAAGCGACCAGAUCAUCAGGAGAAGGAAUAACCUCCCUAAAUGCCUGCAUGGAAGCAGUGAUACUGGAAGAGAGAAUACAAACCACAACUGAAUCUGGAUAAAACACAGAGCAGGGUGUGGAAAUGGAGACAGGAAAAGUAGCUUAAAACCAGCAUUUAAAAAAACAAACAGAAAUAGCUCAAGAUAAGCUAGAAUUUGCAAGACAAAGCCUGACUUGUGUGUGGAGUGGGUCCAAGGAUCUCGAAGGGACUUCGGGGAAUUUCAAGGGCCUGAUGGGCUUCCAGAACCUCAUGGAAUGUUGAGGUCAUUAAGCUAAGAAAAGGCUACCAUGACAUAUCUCAUUGUCUGAAAGAAAGAAUGCCUCCUCCGGUUCACCCACAUUCAGCCCAUCACUGCCUCCAGACAUUGAUUCAGAGAAUCCAAGGACUUCAUGGGAACAGACAGCAUUUUGAGAUAGAGUUGAGCGGCUCCUCCUCAUGAGAGGAGUCUGUACUGUGACUCCACCAUACACCAAAGUGAAGUCAAGAACAAGCAAAGCUGCAGCAGCAUUCAUUAGAGCUGCCAGACAGGCCCUGCAGGGGACACUCUCCUUCAGCUUAGUACCAGGGUUGCAGAAGGAAUGUCACCUCUGAACUAUUGUACAAAAAUGUCAACAGGUCAGCUAUUCUAUUUUCCUUACAACUUCUUGUUCUUUGAAUUUUCCAGUAAACAAAUAGUGGAUCCAAUAGGGAAGUCAAAUAGUGGAUCCAAUAGGGCAUGCAAUCUUCAGUCAAGCACAACUAUAGCAUUUUUUAAAAUGUGCAAUAAAGUGAAGCUUCCAA